UACGUAGGGUGCAAGCGUUGUCCGGAAUCAUUGGGCGUAAAGCGCGCGUAGGCGGCCCGAUAAGUCCGCUGUAAAAGUCAACGGCUCAACUGUUGAAAGCCGGUGGAUACUGUCGGGCUAGAGUACGGAAGAGGCAAGUGGAAUUCCUGGUGUAGCGGUGGAAUGCGCAGAUAUCAGGAAGAACACCCGUGGCGAAGGCGGCUCUCUGGGACGGUACUGACGCUGAGACGCGAAAGCGUGGGGAGCGAACAGG
rnacentral:rRNA from 1 species